GUCUCUCUUAUAACUGGACCUAACCCUCUACAAGAAAACUCAGAAAAAAGUAACACACAAGGCCUUAGGCUCACAAUAUCAACAUCACAUGCCCAUCCAGGGCUUACAAGAAUCUAAUCUAAGUCCAAUUAUCCAAACUCCAACUCAAGUUCGUGACUUCUUUACAGUCCAAAUAAUUAUUUCUAGCACUUCAAAAAUUAUAAAAAU
rnacentral:misc_RNA from 1 species